rnacentral:lncRNA from 1 species
AGAUGGAUGUCACAGUUUCUCUUCCCACCAGCAGUGAUGAGCCUUUCUGCUUCUCCGUGUCCCGGUCACGUCUCCCGGCCACCUGCUGACACACGUGAGAGGCAGGUCUGUCCACUCUCGGAGCCGAUGUAAGUUAGAGCAAAGGUAGCUCCAACCUUGACUUCACUGAACAGGAUUUCCUGGUUUCUCGGCCACCCAGAGACACCUUCCCCUGACCCAUUUCUCACCCAAAUAAAGGGGCCUGAUUUACUCCUGGACUCCCUUCCAGAGAAGGAACAUUCAGGUGCAUCAUGAAAAACCAGCAGGAAGCCAGGCGUCAUGCCAGUGGGAUGGGACUGCGGCUGGCAGCGGGGGAGUUGUCAUGUGUCGACCCGGCACACCAGAAAAGGCUCAGUGAGUCUCGAACACAGUGAUUAACUUCUCUUUAAUCUCUGCAUCACUGAGCAGCCCGGCCAACUGCUUAGCUUCCCCGGCAAGCUCUGCAUGAGUCACUGAUGUCUUACUGUGGAUGUCCUACUGUGGCCUGAGCACAUUGCAUUUCAGGCAGGUGUGACUGUUCCUUUAUGUGCCCUUGAGAUACCCAGGGAAUGAAUAAUGCCUGCUGUUCCCCUCCGACACUAACUAAAUAUUGAAUCGACAAUGCCUUUUUUUUUUUUAAAAACAAAAUAAUAUUGCUCUGGAGUCUUUUUUCUGCUCCAUUUCUUUUCUUUUUUUCUGGCCACUGAAUCAAGGCUGACAGUCCCUGGGAUGUGGGGCAGCUCCUUAAGUAAUAGGAAGUUUAUUGACUCAUGGGUUAAUUGAGAAAAUCAUUUACCAAACCAUAUGUGGGCAUGCUGUGCUAGCAACCCUUGAACUGCCAUAAAGACUGGGACCCAGCUGUGGCCUGCUUAGCUCUUUCUUCUAAUGUGGGUCAGUCCUUGAACUAGGACAGUCUGCAGGUGUUCCCUUUGUGCUCAGAUAGACACUCAACUCUUAGCCCUCGAAAGAAAGAAGUCAGAACAAAGGCCUGCUUGGGCAUGUUGGGGCACAGAAAUCGGGGAGAGAAAACCCAAACCUUUAUCGUGUAGCAGCUGCCUUGUACUCCUCUGACCGUAUUAUACAAUCUGUUACAUUCAAUUAGAAUCACAGAGAUCCUGCCUCCCUUCCCUACGACGCUCUAGCUGUGUGUCUUUCAGCAAAUCGCCUAACCUCUCUGAGCCUCUGUUUCUCAUCCUCUCGGGGCCAUUGUGAAGACGAAAUGAGGUGAGGAAUGGGGAUGUGCGGUAGGCAGAAUAAUGACCCCAGACACACCCAGGUCCCAGGCUUCAGAACCUGUGAGCGUUCCCUCGUGUGGCAAGAGGGUGUGAUUAAAUUAAGGAUUUUGAGCUGGGAGGGGAUUAUCCUGGAUUCUCUGGGUUGAUCCGGGAUAAUCACGGGGAUCCUUCUAAGAGGGAGGCAGCAGAGGGGAUGAGGCCAUAUAAGCAGAGACUGGAGGGAUGUGACCCCGAGCCACGGAAUGUCAGCACUUUCUGGAAGCUAUGGGAGGCCAGGGACAGAUUCGCCUCCAGGGCCCCUCCAACACCUUGACUCAGUGACACCUGAGCCCAGUGGGACGGAUUUCACACUCUCGGCUUCCAGAACUGUAAGAGAAUGUGUUUUAGGCCACUAAGUCGUGGUCAUGUGUUACAGCAGCCAGGAGAAACUAAUACGGGAUGAUGUGUGAAUAUAAAAUCCUGCACACGUGGACAGAUUUGCUGCGAGGUAGCCGGAGCCAGGUGAGGACAAAACGCAGAGGGUGUGCCUGACGAGCCAGCAAGGUGUCAGCCCGCAGGUGUCUAUUUGCAGGGAGGGGAAGUGCCUCCACAAGGCCGUGCGUGGCUGUGUGGCUGGACUGAUGUCUGCAGCCUAACCCUGACUGGUCACCCGGAUUUAAGCGCCCAUCCAGGGGCCAGAGACUCUGGACAGAGCCCAAGGAAUUGUUUUCCAAGGGACUCGGACAGCAUCAUGGAUAGAAACUGAGCUGCUUUGGGGCUUGGUGACAAGGCAGGAGAUGGGGGGGGGGGUAAGGAGUAGCUCCCUAAAUUCUGUACGCAGCAUGGCGUGGCUGUAGUUCAACAUGUUGUUGCCUGGCGUGUUCUGACACUCAAGGCUGCAUCUCAGGACCACUGGCCCACCUCAGCCUUGACCUGGACAGUGGGGAAAUGCCCCCUCUUGGGAUUUUGCAGGCAGCUGGUGUCACUAAGAGAUUCAAGCCAGGGAUGUCUGGGUGGCUCAGCGGUUGAGCGGCUUAGGGUGUGAUCCUGGAGUCCUGGGAUCGAGUCCCACAUCGGGCUCCCUGCAUGGAGCCUGCUUCUCUCUCUGCCUCUCUCUCUCUGUGUCUCUCAUGAAUAA